CGAUUGAGAGUGGCGAACGGGUGAGUAACACGUAGUUCACCUGCCCCAAAGAGCGGGACAACAGUUGGAAACGGCUGCUAAUACCGCAUACCCUCGCAAGAGGAAAGCUCAGGCGCUUUGGGAUGGGACUGCGAACCAUCAGCUAGUUGGUGCGGUAAAGGCGCACCAAGGCGACGACGGUUAGGGGACCUGAGAGGGUGACCCCCCACACUGGGACUGAGACACGGCCCAGACUCCUACGGGAGGCAGCAGUGAGGAAUAUUGCCCAAUGGAGGCAACUCUGAGGCAGCGACGCCGCGUGGGCGAAGACGGGUUUCGGCCUGUAAAGUCCUUUUCUGUGUGACGAGAGUGGACGGUAGCACAGGAAUAAGUCUCGGCUAACUACGUGCCAGCAGCCGCGGUAAAACGUAGGAGGCAAGCGUUAUCCGGAGUUACUGGGCGUAAAGCGCGUGCAGGCGGAUCGAUAAGUCGACCAUGAAAGCUCCCGGCUAAACUGGGAGAGGUUGAGCGAAACUGUCGGUCUAGAGUGGAGAAGAGGAAAGCGGAAUUCCGCGUGUAGUGGUGAAAUGCGUAGAGAUGCGGAAGACACCAGUGGCGAAGGCUGCUUUCUGGUCUCAACUGACGCUCAGACGCGAAAGCAUGGGUAGCGAACGGAUUAGAACCUGGUAGUCCAUGC
rnacentral:rRNA from 1 species